ACCAUCCUGGUUUGCCUGGGACUGAGGGAUUUCUCAGUAUAUGGGACUUUCAGUGCUUAACCAGGAAAGUU
rnacentral:miRNA from 1 species